AAUCAACGCUGGCGGCGUGCCUCAGACAUGCAAGUCGAACGAUUAAACUUUCCUUCGGGAAAGAUAUAAAGUGGCGCACGGGUGAGUAACACGUAGGUAAUGUACCUUUGGGUGGGGAAUAACUUAGGGAAACUUAAGCUAAUACCGCAUAAUGCAGCGGCUCCUUCGGGAGACAGUUGUUAAAGAUUUAUCGCCUAAAGAGCAGCCUGCGGCAGAUUAGCUAGUUGGUAAGGUAACGGCUUACCAAGGCUACGAUCUGUAUCCGACCUGAGAGGGUGGUCGGACACACUGACACUGAAUAACGGGUCAGACUCCUACGGGAGGCAGCAGUCGGGAAUUUUGGG
rnacentral:rRNA from 1 species